AGUGAACGCUGGCGGUAGGCCUAACACAUGCAAGUCGAACGGCAGCACAGUAAGAGCUUGCUCUUACGGGUGGCGAGUGGCGGACGGGUGAGGAAUACAUCGGAAUCUACUUUUUCGUGGGGGAUAACGUAGGGAAACUUACGCUAAUACCGCAUACGACCUACGGGUGAAAGCAGGGGAUCUUCGGACCUUGCGCGAUUGAAUGAGCCGGUGUCGGAUUAGCUAGUUGGCGGGGUAAAGGCCCACCAAGGCGACGAUCCGUAGCUGGUCUGAGAGGAUGAUCCGCCAAAGCGGAACUGCGACACCGUUCGGAAUCCUACGGGAGGGAGCGAGGGGGAAUGUUGGACAAUGGGGGCAAGCCCGAACCGGGCAUAGCUAGUGGGAGGAAAAGGCCUUCGGGUUGUAAAAGCCUUUUGUUGGGAAAGGAGAGGAGCCGGUUAAAACCCCGGCGUUCCGACGGUAACCAAAGGAAAAACCGCGGCUGACUUCGGG
rnacentral:rRNA from 1 species